rnacentral:rRNA from 1 species
UACGUAGGGUGCGAGCGUUGUCCGGAAUUAUUGGGCGUAAAGGGCUCGUAGGCGGUUUGUCGCGUCGGGAGUGAAAACCAUGGGCUUAACUCAUGGCUUGCUUCCGAUACGGGCAGACUAGAGGCAUGCAGGGGAGAACGGAAUUCCUGGUGUAGCGGUGAAAUGCGCAGAUAUCGGGAGGAACACCGGUGGCGAAGGCGGUUCUCUGGGCCUGUACUGACGCUGAGGAGCGAAAGCGUGGGGAGCGAACAGG